UACGUAGGGUGCGAGCGUUGUCCGGAAUUAUUGGGCGUAAAGGGCUCGUAGGCGGUCUGUCGCGUCGGUAGUGAAAACUCAGGGCUUAACCCUGAGCCUGCUUCCGAUACGGGCAGACUAGAGGUAUGCAGGGGAGAAUGGAAUUCCUGGUGUAGCGGUGAAAUGCGCAGAUAUCAGGAGGAACACCAGUGGCGAAGGCGGUUCUCUGGGCAUUACCUGACGCUGAGGGGCGAAAGCGUGGGGAGCGAACAGG
rnacentral:rRNA from 1 species